CAGUAGCCGCGGGAAAACGGAGGGUGCAAGCGUUAAUCGGAAUUACUGGGCGUAAAGCGCACGCAGGCGGUUUGUUAAGUCAGAUGUGAAAUCCCCGAGCUUAACUUGGGAACUGCAUUUGAAACUGGCAAGCUAGAGUCUUGUAGAGGGGGGUAGAAUUCCAGGUGCAGCGGUGAAAUGCGUAGAGAUCUGGAGGAAUACCGGUGGCGAAGGCGGCCCCCUGGACAAAGACUGACGCUCAGGUGCGAAAGCGUGGGGAGCAAACAGGAUUAGAUACCCGCGUAGUCCCUGUCUCUUAUAC
rnacentral:rRNA from 1 species